CCUACGUGAGGCAGCAGUGGGGAAUAUUGCACAAUGGGGGAAACCCUGAUGCAGCGACGCCGCGUGAGGGAAGAAGUAAUUCGUUAUGUAAAGCUCUAUCAGCAGGGAAGAAAAUGACGGUACCUGAAUAAGAAGACCCGGCUAACUUCGUGCCAGCAGCCGCGGUAAUACGUAGGGGGCAAGCGUUAGCCGGAUUUACUGGGGGUAAAGGGAGCGUAGACGGCAGUGCAAGUCUUGAGUGAAAGGCGGGGGCUCAACCCCCGGACUGCUCUGGAAACUGUACGGCUGGAGUGCAGGAGAGGUAAGUGGAAUUCCUAGGGUAGCGGUGAAAUGCGUAGAUAUUAGGAGGAACACCAGUGGCGAAGGCGGCUUACUGGACUGUAACUGACGUUGAGGCUCGAAAGCGUGGGGAGCAAACAGGAUUAGAUACCCGGGUAGUC
rnacentral:rRNA from 1 species